CGCAGGGUAUAGUUAAAUAUAGCUGAGGGUGAAAAUGCCCCAAGCAGCAAAGCGACGCAUCAUGAAGAGGCUGCUGGGCACUGUGCUGGCGCUUUUGUGCACCCCGAUUUGCUGUGUGAGAGGGGUGCAGGUGGAGCAGAGUCCCACAGCCCUGAGUCUCCAGGAGGGAGCCAGUUCUACGCUGCGGUGCAAAUUUUCCACCUCUCUGAGCAAUGUGCAGUGGUUUCGCCAAAAUCCUGGGGGCGGUCUCAUCAACCUGUUUUACAUCCCUUCAGGGACAAAGGUGAAUGGAAGAUUAACCGCUAAAACAGACCCUAAAGAACGCAACAGCUCAUUGCAUAUUUCCUCUUCCCAGACCACAGACUCAGCCAUUUAUUUCUGUGCUGGGAGCCACAGUGUUCCCCAGGCACCUGCAGCCUGUACACAAACCCUCAGCUGGGCUCAGCUCCUCCUCCAACCACAAUCACAUCACAAAAUCAUCACACAGCCUUUGCACAGCUUAAUACUCCCAACCCACAUCGGUAGGGUUUUAACCACAGAUACUUUUGGGCCUUACACGUUGGAGACUUUGGUCUUUAUCUUUCCUUCUCAGUCUACUCCUCUUCCUGCACUAUAAACCUCUCACUUGGAACUAGCAGAGUAGCUGAUAAGAGCACAGAACUAAUAUAAAUAUUUAAGCCACAGUAUGCUGGAUUCCAAAAGAGUAAAAGGUGAAAGGAAUAAAAAGAACAGAAAAAUCACUCCAAUAAAGAUGUUAUUACACAAUCGUCCAGUUUAGUGGGUGUCUCAGUGAUUUUCAGGUCAGCCUUACCACAAAUGAAGACAAAUGCAGGUACUUAUAUCCCAUACUACUAGAGCAGCACAG